GAUAGAGGCCUACCAUGGUGGUGACCGGCGACGGAGAAUUAUGGUUCGAUUCCGGAGAGAGAGCCUGAGAAACGGCUAACACAUCCAAGAAAGGCGACAGGCGCGCAAAUUACCCAAUCCUGACACGGGGAGGUAGUGACAAUAAAUAACAAUACCGGGCUCUUCGAGUCUGGUAAUUGGAAUGAUUACAAUCUAAAUCCCCUAACGAGGAUCCAUUGGAGGGCAAGUCUGGUGCUAGUAGCAACGAUAAUUCCAGCUCUAAUAGCGUAUAUUUAAGUUGUUGCAGUUAAAAAGCUCGUAGUUGAAUUUCGGGGUUAGUAGGUUGGUCAUGCCUCUGGUAUGUACUGGUCUCACUGAUUCCUCCUUCCUUAUGAACCGUAAUGCCAUUAAUUUGGUGUUGCGGGGAAUUUGGACUGUUACUUUGAAAAAAUUAGAGUGUUUAAAGCAAGCUAACGCUUGAAUACAUUAGCAUAGAAUAAUGAAAUAGGACGUUCGAUCUUAUUUUGUUGGUUUCUAGGAUUGACGUAAUGAUUAAUAGGGAUAGUUGGGGGCAUUAGUAUUCAAUUGUCAGAGGUGAAAUUCUUGGAUUUAUUGAAGACUAACUACUGCGAAAGCAUUUGCCAAGGAUGUUUUCAUUAAUCAAGAACGAAAGUUAGGGGAUCGAAGACGAUCAGAUACCGUCGUAGUCUUAACCAUAAACUAUGCCGACUAGGGAUCGGAUGA
rnacentral:rRNA from 1 species